ensembl:lncRNA
UCAAGCUGCCCUUUGAAACGCUGUGAGAAGCUGGAAGGAGAAACUUCAUUGUUUUGAUACCACACACCUCCUGUCUGCCUGUGACAUUGCUGUGGAAGCCUUGCUGACAAGUCUGACUAAUGCACUGAGCGAAGAGGUUUCUAACUGGCUUGAGAGAGUUGGCCAUGGUAUGGAAAGAGUCAACAGCUCUACAGAUGGAGGAAGAGGCAGUUCCUGUCUGCAACUGCUUCUUGUCCAAAUUGCCUUGAAAGUGGCCCGCUUGUCUUCAAGGAAUCAAUGCUUCCUGAUUAGGAUGUUUUGUGUCAUGAAAUCGCCAGCUACUGAGCUCGUUUGCCACCCGGUGCACCAAAGAUACACCAGCUAACAGCAGAACGCUGUGGAUUCAGGACUGUAAUGUACGCUGUGGUUGGUUUGAAAUACAUUUGAAUUGAGAGCACUGCUUUUCACUGUUGCACUGCCCAAAGGAGAACGGUACAGUGUAACUUCAUAUAAAUCAGUCAGUGGGUGCAAAAUAAUGCAGAGCACCAAAAUAGCGACAGUUUCUGAAAAUCAGUAUAUUGCCUAGACUUUUGUGUAUACAUAUAUAUAUAUAUGUAUGUAUACCAGCAUCUGUGUGCGUAUGUGUGCGUAUG